UACGGAGGGAGCGAGCGUUGUCCGAAGUUACUGGGCGUAAAGCGCGCGUAGGCGGGAAAUUAAGUGAGACGUGAAAGGCUGGGGCUUAACCCCAUGCAGUGCUCCUCAUACUGGUUUUCUUGAGGGUGGUAGAGAGAAGUGGAAUGGCUGGUGUAGCGGUGAAAUGCGUAGAUAUCAGUCGGAACACCAGUGGCGAAGGCGGCUUCGUGGGCCAUUACUGACGCUGAGGCGCGAAAGCCAGGGGAGCGAACGGG
rnacentral:rRNA from 1 species